AACCACUCACGCCUGGCGUGGUAUUGGGGCACGCGGUCUCGCGGCCCUCAAAAUCAGUGGCGGCGCCGGUGGGCUCUAAGCGUAGUACAUACUCCCGCUAUAGAGUUCCCCCCGGUGGCUUGCUAGAACCCCCCAAUUUUUACA
rnacentral:misc_RNA from 1 species